rnacentral:lncRNA from 12 species
AUGAGAGUGCCACAGGGAACUGCAGCUUGUAUGACUGCCAGAAGCCAAGUCUGUAGCACUGCUUGGAAAGCAGGAGACCAGUGUGAGGUGUCUGAAUUACUUGAAGAUACUAAUCUACUUUCAGAUGCUAUAUUUCUUGGGCACUCAUCUCUUCUACAAGGGAAACUUGCUGCAAGCAACCUGUUGGAUAUAUUCAGUAAUGAUGGCACUUCCAGGAAAUUGCCAUGUCCUGCAGCAAAGGAUGGAGUGCAGUAUAUGGGCCUCUCCUUUCUUUUGAGAAAGGUGCAGCAUGUCCAAAGUGGGCAGCUCUGCUACAGAGCAUCCCUCUCACUGGAGUACAGCAGAGCUCCUUUGUGCUUGUUUGAUAGAAAUCAUGGAUGGUCUCAGACCAAAUGAGACUGUGAGUGGCAGUGCAACAGCAAGAGAAGGAAUGUUAAUGACCAGAACAUAUGGGACAAAUACAGAUUUCAACUUCUAUUCCUUGUCAUACAGCUGUGUGGUUCUCCUUGUACCAUGCUCCAUUAUAUACACAAUCUUAAUGAUCACUGAAGUUUGAAUGACCAAAAAGUAGUUACGUUCUAUUUUCAAACACAUUUAACUCAAAGAACAAACCCAAUAGCUUCUGAAUUCUAGUGACAGCAUUACAAGAAGGCCCUGUGUGAACUAUGAUGAGGGCAGGAAGGUGUGACUAAAGACUUAAAGUCUAGGGGUUUUGUUCUCCAAAAGCAAAACAAAGGACUGUACACUCAAAGUACAAGGAAGUCAGUGAAGCUGAAACCACGGGGGAUGAAGUGUCCACUCUUACAGCACUUUCAGAUUUAGAGGACAGAGCAAUUUAGUAAACCCCAGAGAGGAGAAGAUGGAAUCAUAGACGAAUUCUUGCAGAUUACGAAUCAUGCCUGACUGACUGCAGGAGCAAGAGAAGCAAAACACACAGCCCCAAAACACUGUCAAAGCUGACAUACUUUUGAGAAGUGACAUAAAAUCCCACAGAAAGAGGCAAGGGUAUGUGGCUUGGGGGCAUCAACUGUUCUUUCAGAAUAUUGGAAAUGUGGAGAAAAGUCUAGAGACCUCGAUUAACUUACUGAAGCAUCUGAUAACUUUUAUUCUGGGGGAGGAUACAUGCAUCUCAUUUUCUGUUGCUUGAACAUUCAUUAGUCAUUUGUCAGAAAAGUUUAAAAAGCAAAUUAUGCAGAAGUAGUCCAAGCAUUUUUUCCUCUCCCUUAGCUUGUGUGCUGGGUAAAGAAUCCUGGAGUGAGAAUGAGACUGUCAUAAAUCCUGAUUUAACAAAACAUAGGAGUCUUCAUCAAAGAGUGUGAGAUUGAAGAGAAGCUUUUAUUUGGUUCCAAGAGAGAAUCUCACUGGGGUAGUUGUCUCCUCAGUCACUACAACUUAUACUGUAACAACAGGAAUUACUUUUCAGGCUGCAACACCAUGGCAGAUUUUGACCAGAAUUUGAAGAGAGACAAAUAAUUGGACUGAUCACGUUCCCAAUAAAAUCUUCUGCAUAAUUUCUAUUACUUCAGAAAAAGUAAAAUCACUCUGAAGACAUCUCUAGUAGCAUUUAAAGAAUUGCUUUCACACCUAGUUCUAUACCAUUUAAUUCUGUUGAAUCCAGUGGGGCAAUAUAUGGUUUUCAGUCAGUCUUAAAAAUAAA